UUUAAUAAAAUGAUGAAGCUAAGACUACAAUUUUUUAACUAAUAUAUUUAGUAUAAGGUUUUCGUUAAGAGUCUGUUUCAAGUACUCUCAUGUUUACUUAAGUAUUGGUUUCCAUUCAUCUGUUGAUACUUUUAUUACUUUCAUGAUGAUUGUACCAGCACAUGAGUCUCUGAUCGACGCAUAAUCAGGACAAAGAAAGAGAUGUUUGGUUUUCAAUCAAAGAUAUCUUAAAGAAAAUGAGUCAGUCUUUAAAAAAGUUCCAACGAGUGCACUGUGUCGUUUUGCUGUAAUUAAAUACAUCUCUAGUGUGGUCAAUCCAAAUUGGAAUUAAGCCUCUGAUUUUCUCUUUCAUUGUUGUUUGAUCAAUUACAAUAAGUCAUAUUGCUGGAUUCAAUCUUCAACUAAGUUGAUUCAACAGCUUCAACCUCUUAAUUAUUGUUCAAACACUGGUCUGCGAUCACCUCGACGUGUAACCAGCUCUCUACAUUCUACGUUAUUUUAGAUCAGCUAUUUUAAUCUCAGUUAUUAAUGCCUAAUUCAACUUUUGCUAAUAAAUAAGUUUAAAUAAUUAAUUAAAA
rnacentral:lncRNA from 1 species